CUCUGAUUCAAGCAUGGAAGCGGUGAUGAAGUACUCAGACUAAACAAGCGGCGAAGAAAACACUGGAAGAGAGAAGAGUAAACAUCAUACACCAUGGCAUCAGAAUCCAACUGCAUUAGGAAUCUUCUCAUCCAAUGAUCGUGUUCUUCUCUGUGAGAUAAUAAUACAACAUGAAGAGCUGAACUGAGCUGCUUUGAGAAGCUGAAUUCAGAUGGUGCCAUAGAGUGAUUCCUAACAUCUAGCACCAUUUGAAAUCAGUGUUCUCCAAGCUGUGUGGACAUCCAGCCCAAACACACAGUUCCUCCUAAGUGGAAGCGCGACAGGCACAAAUUAAUUUUACUCUGACAAAUAUAUGUUUUAUUUGUUUACUUGUUUCUUAUUUGGUAAAUUACUGUAAUGUGAAUUUGUUUUUCAAAUUUGUCAAUAAAACAUGUUGAUUGUUA